GACGAACGCUGGCGGCACGCCUAACACAUGCAAGUCGAGCGGGAACUUCGGUUCUAGCGGCGGACGGGUGAGUAACACGUGAGCAACCUGCCUUUCAGAGGGGGACAACAGUUGGAAACGACUGCUAAUACCGCAUAAUGUUAUUUGAGGGCAUCCUCGGAUAACCAAAGGAGCAAUCCGCUGAAAGAUGGGCUCGCGUCUGAUUAGAUAGUUGGUGAGGUAACGGCCCACCAAGUCGACGAUCAGUAGCCGGACUGAGAGGUUGAACGGCCACAUUGGGACUGAGACACGGCCCAGACUCCUACGGGAGGCGGCAGUGGGGGAUAUUGGACAAUGGGGGAAACCCUGAUCCAGCGAUGCCGCGUGAGGGAAGAAGGUUUUCGGAUUGUAAACCUCUGUGAAAGGGGACGGAUAAUGACGGUACCC
rnacentral:rRNA from 1 species